AUUCAGAGGGCCCUCUCCUGUUGAGGCAUUGAAAUAUUUAAUCCAUCCAUUCUAAGUGCUGUCCAGUUGCUACAAAAAACAUAAAUGAACAGAAAUCAUACGAAGUAAACAUUAACCUCAGCCUCAGAGUCAGGUGGUUACUUAAGAAGAAGGUGCAGGAGAGGCAUGAGAGAAAACACUUCCACAGUCUGACAGAGUUCUGUCUACCUGGGAUCAGCCACCCUUUCAACAUGAGAUGGACAAGCUCCUUCCAGAAGUGCCCUUUCCACCCACCCUUCUUUGCAGAAGAAAAGAAUAAGAGCUCGACUGUAGCUGCCUUUGAGUGGUCAUGCCCAGCUGUGAAGGAACUGUGUGGUGAGGAAAAGCACCAAGCAGAAAUGGACAAUCUGCUAAAACAAAAAGCAGCAUGGAAAACAGCAAAAUCCCAAGUGUGCUGGAAGUGAUGGAAGACCAGACUCUGCACUGGCACCUGUACAUUUAUUACUAUGAUCAUAACUCUGCAAUUCUCUGGCAUUAAUACAGUUGGUUAUCUGCCCAUCUCCACACAAAACAACUCUUCAGUUCAAGCUUGCAGACACUGUAAAAUACAUUGUAUCUGCGUGGGAGUCAAGCAGUCAUGAGAUUUACUCCUGGCCAUCAACUGGCUGCUGAUUUGGUUUUGGAUAUUUUCACCCAUCCAUCUGUCAUUCUUUUUGGAAAACUGGCAUUUAACAUCUACUGACCUAACAGAGCUUCACUGACCUGGCAAAGUGCUACAUAAAUGUAUCAUGUCAUUUAAGAAGAAAAGUUUUGGAUUAUGGACGUUAUUUGGAUUAUGGACAUUAUUUUGCAAUAAGGGACAGACUGGCUUGCACAUGUCGACCUGCCCACAACAGUUCCUGUGCCCUCACACCUUCCCACAAGGUGCUGUCUGCAUCCAGGAUGAAAUCUUAUGCUUCUUUUUGCCACCAUGCUCUCUUCCUCCACCCCUUCUGAGGCAGUGCAGCUUGCAGUUUCCCUAACAAUGUUGUAGAGGGGAAUGACUAAUGCCUGAGUGUCCUGUUUGAAAAUAUGGGCAGCAUGAGGCCAAAUGGAACACAAAUGUCACAUUUAUCUUCUUCCAUGCUAUUCUUUCCCAGCUUGCACAGGUUUCACAAUCAGGUGCAAUUGCAAGUGCUAGCACUUCUGAACUGUGCUGAACAGACGUUAAAGCCAUGGAGUCACUAACUCAACAGACAGAUGGAAAAAUAGAUGUUAGGAUCGGCAUUCACUGUUGGCACUGCACCAGAUCAAUAAUGUGUUCUGCUGUGGAACUUCCACUUUCAUUUCUCAGUUCCUUCUCUCUGAUAUGACCCUCCUUUUUCUCUUUUUCAUAGCUUCUUUUCAGGAUUCUCAACCUCUCUGAACAUACAGAAGAGAGAAUUUUAUCUUGUAAACUUGGUCAGUGUCACUUUGUCUUUACUGGUCCUUUGGCAGGAAUUGGCCUCAGCAGCAGCACAGCUGGAACCCUGCAGAGGGACUGUUCAUCCCUGUCACACAGCACCAUGUCUGGUUUAAAACAGGAGCCCUGGAUCCCCCUGUCCCCCUCUCUGAAGCCCAGCCAUGCUGACUCUGAUAUAGCUCCAGUGUCUCCUGCAAGAAGUCAAUCCUUCACAGGUUGCCUUGCUGGGCACCUCCUCUACUUCAUGGCUUAAUGAACUUUUCCAUCUUAAGCAUUCAUCCUCCCAAACUGCACCAGUCCAACGUGCCAGACCUCAGGAGGCCUGUUCUCCCAGAUGCUCACUAUUGCUGCAUCUCUUGCAGUUACUGAUAAACCAGAUAGUCUAUGAUUAACCUGCCAGUAUUAAUGUUUGUGAGUUGUUUUAAUCCCAUGCCAAGGCCUCUCCUUCAUACUUCUGCAAGUAACAUCUCAAAUUAUUUUGACUACUCACCCUGCCUAUCUUGCCUUCAGGAAAGAAGGAAAUUUUAACUAUUUUAU